CCUCUUCCAAACACAAAACUCUCAAAACCCUAGUUCCUUCUACAUUCCACAGCCGACCUCCCUGCUCCUCCACCUCCAGCCGCCGUCACGCUGCCCUCCACCCCUCCAGCAGUCGUUCCACCUCUCCCCGCAGUUGUUCUCCACCGCCGAGCACCACCCCCUUCCACAGCCGCAGCCCCAGCCCCAGCCCCAACCCCCGUCGUUCUCCACCCCAUCUGAACCUCUCCAGCAGUCGUGCUCCACCCCCUGGUCCAGCGCAGCCCUCGAUCUCCACCCCCUCCACCGCCUCAAACCUUGUAUCUCCACUCCUCCUCCAACAUCUAAGCCUCUAAACCAUUUUGUUUUCCAAAUAUUUGGAUCACUAUUAUAAAAAUAUUUGGUUCGCUUCGAGACAUUCACUGAGGAGGUCGAUGGUUAAACUCGAUGAGUUAGAUAAUGUUAGUUCGACGUGGAUUGAUUCUGAUGUUCUUGUGUUUAAUACGGUUCAUUGGUGGAAUCGCGCAAAGCUUUUUGAAAUGCAAGGAAAACGAUUAUGAGGCAGAAUACAGGGCUGUGAACGCUGAAGCUAAGAUCAAGUUGCUAACGAAAACUAGUAACGAGCUCAAGUUCAUCGGAGAAGGUGGUAAUGCUUGAGAGAAAGCUUAGGGAUGCUAAAACAAAGCUAAAAACUAACAAAUCCCGGACAAACAGUUUUGAAAACCUCGAGUCGAUGGUGGUGAUGAUGAUUAGCGUGCCAUAUGUGGAAGAAACUGUGGCCGAUGAUUAUUACGCAAUCCCCAGAUUUCUUUGAAAAAAAUUAGCUUUAACUUUCAAGCUAUAUGUAUAUAUGAAUGUAAUGAUCAUGAUCUAAAACCUUCAUUUUCUUGAAACUUAGGCAGAUAUUUCAAGAUUAGCAUAGCAGGCCACUUUCAUCUUUUUUUUUUUCUAGCCUUUUUAAGCAAGA